AAGAGGUCCUAGAAACACAAACCCAACAAAAGUCACUGCACUAUAGCUUGAUUUUGCAACAGAGUUUUGUUGCACAAAAUCCCUGGGUGAACAAAGUCGAAGAAGAAGCUCUCCAAAAGCCUUGGGUUGGGAAGUGCCUUUCUGGCGGUGAAUAUGGCCCACUCGCAGCUGAGGUCAAUGGACAAUCAGGGGAACUGCUCCUCCCAGCACUCUGACCCAGUUCAUUAUUCUGGGUCUCACUGCGCUGUCCCUCCGGCGCUGAGGCCACCUGAGCAUUGUUCAAUGCUCGGGCCUGCCCAGCCCGGAUGCUGCCCCCCUCCUGGUCAGAGCUGCUUCUUGUGGGCCUCAAAAGCCAGACACCGAGGUGGGAUGAGGCUGCCUCAGGAAAUCAACUUCAACUGGUACAGGAACUGACUGCAAGAUAGCACGAAGCACUGAGUGAGCACUUGGAAGGAGAAUUUAGCAGUCUCUGAUUUCAUUUUUCACCGAAAUCCACUACUAGCAUUUUCCAAUAUUGGGCAUACAAAGCAAAUAGAUUUUUAGCCUUUC